rnacentral:rRNA from 1 species
GACGUGAGGGCGCAAGCGUUGUCCGGAUUUAUUGGGCGUAAAGAGCUCGUAGGCGGUUUGUCGCGUCUGCUGUGAAACUGGAGGCUCAACCUCCAGCCUGCAGUGGGUACGGGCAGACUAGGAGUGCGGUAGGGAGAUUGGAAUUCCUGGGUGUAAGCGGUGGAAUGCGCAGAUAUCGAGGAGGAACACCGGAUGGACGGAAGGCAGAGUCUCG